UACGUAGGGUGCGAGCGUUGUCCGGAAUUACUGGGCGUAAAGAGCUCGUAGGUGGUUUGUCGCGUUGUUCGUGAAAACUCACAGCUCAACUGUGGGCGUGCGGGCGAUACGGGCAGGCUAGAGUUCGGCAGGGGAGACUGGAAUUCCUGGUGUAGCGGUGAAAUGCGCAGAUAUCAGGAGGAACACCGGUGGCGAAGGCGGGUCUCUGGGCCGAUACUGACACUGAGGAGCGAAAGCGUGGGGAGCGAACAGG
rnacentral:rRNA from 1 species